AACAGUCACUUAACCAACUGAGCCACGAAUAGUCGGCAGAACCCAGAAGAUGAGGCAGACACAGCAGUACUUGAGACGGUGUAUUUAAUGAAGUAAAAAGUGAAGUCCUUCAGGAAAACAUGAAACUCCACAACCUCAAAAGGAAUUCCACAAGAACAAAGGUAAUCCUCCAAGACAAAAAGGUAAAUCCACAAGGUGGUAGGUAUAGCAUAAAAAGCCUCAAAAGAUACUCAAAAAUAAAUAAACAAACAAAAACAAUUCCACAAGAGAGUCCACCGGGAUCAACAAGAGUUCACAGAAUACUAGGGCUGGGUGCUAACAUACAAACACAGAGCAAAGAACUGCGGAAAACUAAGGGUCUAAAUACAAUCAGGGGAAACGAGGCACAGGUGCAAAUAAUAAUGGGGAUCAAGGGAAAACAAAAGGUCAAAAAGCACAAUGGGGGCAUCUAGUGACCAAAAACCGGAACAACCCUGGCCAAAUCCUGACACCCACCCUCUCUCUCUCUCUCUCUCUCUCUCUCUCUCUCUCUCUCUCUCUCAUACACACAGAGUGGAGAUGCCUGAGUGAAUAGGGUAGUUUGGCCCAUGCCACCACGCCAGCCAGAGACAGUGACUAACAGCCCUACUGUGUGAAUUAAAUAUUACAUGCCGGCAGCUCCUGCAAGACCAGUCUUGCUGGACCUUCUCUAGCUUCCCUCAAUUGUACGUCACACCCCGUUGGCACACAAGCAUACACACCACACACAAACUUUGAACAUUCUCUCUUUCUCUCUCUCUCGCUCUCUGCCCAAUACUGGGGAUACUGCCAGAGAAUACUAUGAUAUGAUUGUGAAUGUGAAUGUGACUUCUGCCGUGAUGAUGUGAUAGUUUUGCCCAUAGAGCUCCAGUGUCUGAGGAAACCACAGUGUGUCAGCACCCGCUGUGGUUACAAUGCAGCGAGUUCAUUAUUAGCCGUGUGUGUGUGUUAACUGACAUUGGAAGGUCUGGCUGGGCCCAGUUCAUUACUUCUCACUGUUGACUGACAUUGGGGAGGUCUCGCUGGGCUGACUUUAUUAUUCCCUGCUGCUAUGAGCAGACACAGAUGGGAGCACACGCUAAGCUAGGGAACAGACCUCCACAGGCAAUCUUUCUGGGGCAUUAGAGUGGCGUGUGUGUCAAAAUGAAAUUCCAUUUUAUUGGUCGCAUACACAUAUUUAGCAGAUGUUAUUGCAGGUGUAUCGAAAUGCUUGUAUUCCUAGCUCCAACAGUGCAGUACUAUCUAACAAUUCACACAAGUCUAAAAGUAAAAGAAAGGUAUUAAGAAAUAUAUAAAUAUUAGCACGAGCAGUGUCAGAGUCCGGAGUAUAUACAGUGCCUUCGGAAAGUAUUCAGACUCCUUGACUUUUUCCACAUUUUGUUACGUUACAGCCCGUUUCUAAAAAUUAAAUUGAUCAUCCUUGAGAUGUUUCCACAACUUGAUUGGAGUCCACUUGCGGUAAUUUCAAUUGAUUGAGCAUGAUCUGGAAACAAUUCUGCAGCAUUAAACGUCAUUAAGAACACAGUGGCCUCCAUCAUUAUUAAAUGUAAGAAGAUUGGAACCACCAAGACUCUUCCUAGAGCUGGCCGCCCGGCCAAACUGAUCAAUCUGGGGAAAGGGUCUUGGUCAGGGAUGUGACCAAGAACCCGAUGGUCACUCUGACAGCACUUCAGAGUUCCUCUGUGUAGAUGGGAGAACCUUCCACAAGGACAACCAUCUCUGCAGCACUAAUCAGGCCUUUAUGGUAGAGUGGCCAGAUGGAAGCCUCUCCUCAGUAAAAGGCACAUGACAGACCGCUUGGAGUUUGCCAAAAGGCACCUAAAGGACUCUCAGACCAUGAGAAACAAGAUUCUCUGGUCGGCUGAAACCAAGAUUGAACUCUUUGGCCUGAAUGCCAAGCGCCACGUCUGGAGGAAACCUGGCACCAUCCCUACGGCGAAACAUGGUGGUGGCAGAAUCAUGCUGUGGGGAUGUUUUUCAGUGGCAGGGACUGGGAGACUAGUCACGAUUGAGGGAAAAGUGAACGGAGCAAAGUUCAGAGACAUCCUUGAUGAAAACCUGCUCCAGAGCACUCAGGACUUCAGACUGGGGCAAAGGUUCACCUUUCAACAGGACAAACACAAAGCCAAGACAAGGCAGGAGUGGCUUUGGGUCAAGCCAGAGCCUGGACUUGAGCCUAAUCUAACAUCUCUGGAGAGACCUGAAAAUAGCUGUACAGCAACGCUCCCCAUCCAACCUGACAGAGUUUGAGAGGAUCUGCAGAGAAGAAUGGGAGAAUAUCCCCAAACACAGGUGUGCUAAGCUUGUACCUAAGAAGAUCACUGCCAAAAGUGCUUCAUCAAAGUACUGAGUAAAGUGUCUGAAUAUUCAUGUCAAUGUGAUAUUUCAGUUUUUUUUAUUUAUACUUUUGCAAAAAAAAAAUCUAAAAACCUGUUUUUGCUUUGUCAUUAUGGGGUAUUGUGUGUCUAUUUAUGAUGUUUAUUUUUUAUUAAAUCCAUUUUAGGGUAAGGCUGUUACUUAUCAAAAUGUGGAAAAGGGAAGGGGUCUGAAUACUUUCCGAAUGCACUCUGUGUAUAUACAGUUGAAGUCUGAAGUUUACAUACACCUUAGCCAAAUACAUUUAAACUCAGUUUUUCACAAUUUCUGACAUUUAAUCCUAGUAAAAAUGCUCUGUCUUAGGUCAGUUAGGAUCACCACCUUAUUUUAAGAAUGUGAAAUGUCAGAAUAAUAGUAGAGAGAAUGAUUUAUUUCAGCUUUUAUUUCUUUCAUCACAUUCCCAGUGGGUCAGAAGUUGACAUACACUCAAUUAGUAUUUGGUAGCAUUGCCUUUAAAUUGUUUAACAUGGGUCAAAUGUUUUGGGUAGCCUUCCGCAAGCUUCCCACAAUAAGUUGGGUGAAUUCUGGUCCAUUCCUCCUGACAGCUGGUGUAAUUGAGUCAGCUUUUUUAGGCCUCCUUGCUCGCACACGCUUGUUCUGUUCUGCCCACAAAUGUUCUAUAGGAUUGAGGUCAGGGCUUUGUGAUGGCCACUCCAAUACCUUUACUUUGCCCCACAGCAACUCGCCCAAGCCUUCCCCAUUUCUCCUCCCAAAUCCGUUCAGCUGAUGUUCUGAAAGAGCUGCAAAAUCUGGACCCCUACAAAUCAGCCUGGCUCGACAAUCUGGACCCUUUCUUUCUAAAAUUAUCUGCCGAAAUGGUUGCCACCCCUAUUACUACUAACCUCUUCAACCUCUCUUUCGUAUCGUCUGAGAUUCCCAAAGAUUGGAAAGCAGCUGCGGUCAUCCCCCUCUUCGAAGGGGGGGACACUCUUGACCCAAGCUGCUACAGACCUAUAUCUAUCCUACCAUGCCUUUCUAAGGUCUUCAAAAGCCAAGUCAACAAACAGAUUACCGACCAUUUCGAAUCUCACCAUACCUUCUCUGCUAUGCAAUCUGGUUUCAGAGCUGGUCAUGGGUGCACCUACCUGCACCUGCCCGCCUGUCCAACAUCACUACUCUGGACGGCUCUGACUUAGAAUACGUGGACAACUACAAAUACUUAGGUGUCUGGUUCGACUGUAAACUCUCCUUCCAGACCCAUAUCAAACAUCUCCAAUCCAAAGUUAAAUCUAGAAUUGGCUUCCUAUUUCCCAACAAAGCAUCCUUCACUCAUGCUGACAAACAUACCCUUGUAAAACUGACCAUCCUACCAAUCCUCGACUUUGGCGAUGUCAUUUACAAAAUAGCCUCCAAUACCCUACUCAACAAAUUGGAUGCAGUCUAUCACAGUGCAAUCCAUUUUGUCACCAAAGCCCCAUAUACUACCCACCAUUGCGACCUGUACGCUCUCGUUGGCUGGCCCUCGCUUCAUACUCGUCGCCAAACCCACUGGCUCCAUGUCAUCUACAAGACCCUGCUAGAUAAAGUCCCCCCUUAUCUCAGCUCGCUGGUCACCAUAGCAUCUCCCACCUGUAGCACACGCUCCAGCAAGUAUAUCUCUCUAGUCACCCCCAAAACCAAUUCUUUCUUUGGCCGCCUCUCCUUCCAGUUCUCUGCUGCCAAUGACUGGAACGAACUACAAAAAUCUCUGAAACUGGAAACACUAAUCUCCCUCACUAGCUUUAAGCACCAACUGUCAGAGCAGCUCACAGAUUACUACACCUGUACAUAGCCCACCUAUAAUUUAGCCCAAACAACUACCUCUUUCCCAACUGUAUUUAAUUAAUUCAUUUAUUUUGCUCCUUUGCACCCCAUUAUUUUUAUUUCUACUUUGCACAUUCUUCCAUUGCAAAACUACCAUUCCAGUGUUUUACUUGCUAUAUUGUAUUUACUUUGCCACCAUGGCCUUUUUUGCCUUUACCUCCCUUCUCAUCUAAUUUGAUCACAUUGUAUAUAGACUUGUUUAUACUGUAUUAUUGACUGUAUGUUUGUUUUACUCCAUGUGUAACUCUGUGUCGUUGUAUCUGUCGAACUGCUUUGCUUUAUCUUGGCCAUGUCGCAAUUGUAAAUGAGAACUUGUUCUCAACUUGCCUACCUGGUUAAAUAAAGGUGAAAUAAAAAAAAUAAAAAAUAAAAAACUGGAUACAAGACAGGAUAUCAGUGUUACAUGCAUUCAUGGGGAUACCCGUCUGUACCCCACGGCCUUAGUGAGCAUACAAACAGAGGAUGGUCUGCUGGACUAUGAGGUCGGCGUGGUCCCAAAGAUGCCAUAUGAUGUAAUAUUGGGUAGAGACGUUCCUAACUUUGCGAAGUUAGGCCACAAGAAUGGCAUAUUUGAGAAGCCAACAACCCUGACCAAGCAGGAAGAAGCAUGGGGCCUUCAACCAAAGCCAAGAAAAGAGGUCUCCCAGGGGACAACAUCACAGGUGCUAGUAGGGGAGGAGGAGGAUGAAGUGGCAAACCUCGCUGAUAACGAACAGCCCGGUACUAGUGGGGCUGGGGUCGAUCUGAAUCCAGAGGACGACGAUCUAGAACCAGCAGACCUGGCAGAGUCCUUGACUAAUUUUGGGACGGCCCAAAACCAGGAUCCAACCCUGCAACAAGCCAGAGCAGAUGUGCAGGUCGUAGAUGGUACUCCCAUAAAUGGUGGGAUGAUGCCUAAUAGUUUUCCCCACUUCAUCAUGAAAAAGGGUUUGGUGUACAGAGUCUCGAAAAUAGGGGUUGAUGUGGUGGAACAGUUGUUGGUUCCCACUCGGUACAAGAGGACAGUACUGGAUCUAGCUCAUGGGCACAUUCUGGGUGGACACCUUGGUAUCGAUAAAACCCGAGACCGGAUUGUAAGGAGGUUUUACUGGCCAGGAAUUCAAGCUGAAGUGGCUCGGCAUUGUGGAGAGUGCCCGGAGUGCCAGUUAACAGCUCCCCGACCAGCUUUUAGAAGCCGGUUAGUGCCACUCCCCAUAAUCGAAACGCCAUUUUAGAGGAUAGCGAUGGAUUUAGUGGGCCCACUACCCAAAUCCGCCAGAGGGCACCAAUACAUUCUGGUCAUUCUAGAUUAUGCCACUCGCUACCCAGAGGGUUAAUCAAACCCCAACAUAAGAAGGUGAAGGCAAUUAGAGAAUGGCCGAAACCAGUAAAUAAGAAGCAGGUCCGAGCCUUCCUAGGGCUGACCGGUUACUACCGGAUGUUCAUCCCAAAUUAUGCCACAGUGGCCGCCCCACUUACCGACAUGACUAAAGCCAGAGGGCCAAACGUGGUCAAAAGGGAUGAAAGGGCCACCAAAGCAUUUAGGACAUUACAGGAGGCUCUCUGCUGUAACCCAGUGCUGGUGGUACCAGAUUUUGAGAAAGAGUUUGUGGUUCAGACGGAUGCCUCAGAGGUCGGCUUGGGAGCAGUGCUGUCCCAAGAGGUAGAAGGGGUGGAACACCCCAUCCUGUUUUUAAGCAGGAAGCUGGAACCACGGGAAACCAACUACUCAGUCGUUGAGAAAGAGGCGCUGGCAGUAAAGUGGGCUCUAGAAAGCCUGAAGUACUACCUGCUGGGGCGCCACUUCACCCUCAUCAGUGACCAUGCCCCACUCACCUGGAUGCAUAGGGCUGAAGAGAAGAACGCUCGGGUGAUGCAGUGGUUUUUGAGUCUCCAACCAUUUAAUUUUGACUUGAAACACAGAGCAGGGAAGGAAAUGGGAAACGUGGAUGGGUUAUCCCGCAUGCAUGCAUAUUUUGCUGCGGUAGCCCGACCUAGGGGGUCGGAUCUAGGGGGAGAGAUAUGUGGCAAAGAAGGCGGUCGAGUGAUAAGUGGCAGAUAUGUGAGAGCAGAACUAAUAAAUGGGCUCUGCCCGAUCACUAAAAUGGCCACCCCUGUCAGAACUACAGAUCACAAAAUGGUCGACCGCCAAAACUACAAGUCCCAGAAGCAAGGGGAACCCUCAGAAGGUGGAGCCAACUCACAGAUAAAGGGUCAAGAAAAACCAGGAAGAGGAAGAGAGAGUGCUGGAAGGAGCUAUGAACAAUAGAGAAAGAGACUAUUGAGAUUGGCUGGAUUUACCGUGUAUGAGCUGGAUUGUUUUGGAUUUUCCUGUUGGCGUUUGGACCUGGACCUACCGAGAACCCGAUUCGUGUACCGAACCCUGCUAUCCUUGACGUCGCCUACGGCCUGGGUGGACCAGGACAGAGAAACAAACACACAGAUCCACCAGCCUGGACAACCGGACGACGGGUCCGGAACGACAAUCCACAACCUUGACAUCCCGUGGCCAUUCUUGUGGGGGUCUGCAGCUUGCAGAAAUCCUACCAGGGUAAACCAGCAGAGGAGGACUGCUACGAUGAUCCACAAACCAGGACAUCCCGUGAUCAUUUUUAUGUAUCUUACUACGCUCAUCACCAAUGGGAACCGUCGACACGGCUGGCUAGCUAUCUUCCAGAGUGAACAACAGUAGAAAAGGGGAGACCCCUUUCGGACAUUUGGAGCCAUACAAGCUUGCCGCUGAAAGACCAACAACCUUCCUAAGGAGGGCUGGUUCCGACAGAGAUAAACGGCGAACGAAGGCAUUCACACUUAACGUUAAAUACAUGAAUGAUUUCAUACUUAAAAUGGGCGGCAGUUCGUGUGCAAAGUAUAUGAUUACUGUGGGAAUAGUUCUAAAAUCUAUCAACAAUGAGUGUCCUUUUUUCUCUUUCCCCCCUCUUCAUUUUCUAUGUAACAAGCCACCAUAUGUUGUCCAUCUAUUUGGGACCUAUUUCUCAAGUAUUAUGUGUGUAUGUUUAUUGUGUGUUAUUAUUUAGUUAGCUAGUAAAUAAAUAAUUAAACCGA